CUCUCUGUUCGAUCAGCUCUCACACUUUCUUCUCUCUUUUACUGUCGCGGGAAGCUCUAGGGGCUCUCUCUCUCUCUCUCUCUCUCUCUCUCUCUCUCUUUGUGAAGCAGUGGUCUUCCUCUUCCAUCGUUCACCUGCAAAAGGCUUGAGAAUUUUUCCCAUGUUUGGAGGUCAAAACAACUUGUGUAGUCAACCAUGCAUAAUUUCAGAGUUGAAGCUGAUGGUGUCUUUUGAGCCAAUGGAUUUUCCUAGAUAUCAGAAGUGCAAUGGCAAAUUAAUGAAUUGAUCUAGACAAAGAGAGACCUGAAGUGAUACACAUCGACCAUUUUCUGUGAGCUGAUUCAAUAAAUAGAAAUUGUCUGGUGCUUUUUGUCUUAAGAAUGGUGGUUUAACUUUGCCUUGUUUGCUUUUGGUCUGUAACAUUAUUUCUCAUUGGCUGUUCUUGGAAAUAUUUUUUUCUUUCUUUCCUUGUGUAUCCCUUAGAACUUGCCUUUUGCCUUAUGGAAUUGUGGAUGUUUAUUUGUA